UUUAUCGGAGAGUUUGAUCCUGGCUCAGGACGAACGCUGGCGGCGUGCCUAAUACAUGCAAGUCGAGCGGRCAGAUGGGAGCUUGCUCCCUGAUGUUAGCGGCGGACGGGUGAGUAACACGUGGGUAACCUGCCUGUAAGACUGGGAUAACUCCGGGAAACCGGGGCUAAUACCGGAUGCUUGUUUGAACCGCAUGAUUCAAACAUAAAAGGUGGCUUCGGCUACCACUUACAGAUGGACCCGCGGCGCAUUAGCUAGUUGGUGAGGUAACGGCUCACCAAGGCAACGAUGCGUAGCCGACCUGAGAGGGUGAUCGGCCACACUGGGACUGAGACACGGCCCAGACUCCUACGGGAGGCAGCAGUAGGGAAUCUUCCGCAAUGGACGAAAGUCUGACGGAGCAACGCCGCGUGAGUGAUGAAGGUUUUCGGAUCGUAAAGCUCUGUUGUUAGGGAAGAACAAGUACCGUUCGAAUA
rnacentral:rRNA from 1 species